AAACAUUAUGUUUCCUAACAGUUGUUACAUAAACAUUAUGUUUCCUAACUCUUUACAUUCUGUUCCAUUUAUUCAGUAUACAUUUGAAGAAUUCCAAAGAAUCCGUUGAAAUUUGUCUGGUAUUUGGUUUUCUACAAAACAGAUUUAUUAUUUUAUGAAAUCCAUUAAUCUUGAUAGAGUUUUAUUGAGAAUAAAUAACUUCAAAAGUUUCCCUUUAAAUGUCAUGGUGAUCUGAUGAAUUCCAUUGAUACAUAUUUACUGGUAUUAAGUUUACUUUCCUAUAUGAAGAGGUUUUAUGUAUUACAAAAGAUUUUUCUCCAGAUUUGUUUAGUUUUACACCUAGUGUGUGUAAUGUUGUUAUUGAUUUCUCAUGUUUACGACAUUUUGUUAUUCUUUUCUGUAUUGUUGAUAUUUUGUGUUGUCAAUUAUUUUCUAUAAAUAUUGUAUAAUUUUAGUUUUUGACCUUUUGACAUAGCUCAAGAAAAUGGACCACUAACAGAUGGCACAAAAUUCUUGUAAUUAAGUAUUCUGUUCCGUUAUAAACUCUGUUAAGUUUAGGUAUUAGUGGGAAAAGAAUCGGUUAUGGAUGGGGAUAGUGAAAGGGUAGGGGGUAUGGAUUAAUGGGAUAUGGAUAGGGAUAGUUAAAGGGUAGGGGGUAUGGAUUAAUGGGAUAUGGAUGGGGAUAGUGAAAGGGUAGGGGGUAUGGAUUAAUGGGAUAUGGAUGGGGAUAGUGAAAGGGUAGGGGGUAUGGAUUAAUGGGAUAUGGAUGGGGAUAGUGAAAGGGAAGGGGGUAUGGAUGAAUGGGAUAUGGAUGGGGAUAGUUAAAGGGUAGGGGGUAUGGAUUAAUGGGAUAUGGAUAGGGAUAGUGAAAGGGUAGGGGGUAUGGACUAAUGGGAUAUGGAUGGGGAUAGUUAAAGGGUAGGGGGUAUGGAUUAUAACAGUGAUAACAUAUGAUAAAAUGUGGAAAAUAAGUUGAACAAUUUGAAAUAUGUGUGGUAUCCGAAGUUUACGGUCAUUUCCAAGGUAAAAUAUUUAUAUUAAUAUAGCAUUAAGCUAACCAAACUUUGAACUACAAGGUUGUAUUGUUUUUGAUAAUCUACCAAUGUUGACAUGGCCUAUUUGUUUACAGAAUCUCACGAGAAGUGUAGGUUUUUGUUGUUUGCAUUAUUUAUUUGCUGUCAAUACUGAGCUGAUAAUUAGCAUCAAUCUUAAAGUGUGUUGGAUUUCUUGAAAUAUUGUGAUUAUGAAAGCCUGUCCUGGUGUACACGUGCACUAUACUGUAUACAGCUGGUCAGUGUAUUGUCUGUUACAGGUCGACACUGUAAGUGUUGUAGAGGUUAAGGACAGCCUGUCCUGGUGUACACCUGGACUAUACUGUAUACAGCUGGUCAGUGUAUUGUCUGUUACAGGUCGACUCUGUAAGUGUUGUAGAGGUUAAGGACAGCCUGUCCUGGUGUACACCUGGACUAUACUGUAUACAGCUGGUCAGUGUAUUGUCUGUUACAGGUCGACUCUGUAAGUGUUGUAGAGGUUAAGGACAGCCUGUCCUGGUGUACACCUGGACUAUACUGUAUACAGCUGGUCAGUGUAUUGUCUGUUACAGGUCGACUCUGUAAGUGUUGUAGAGGUUAAGGACAGCCUGUCCUGGUGUACACCUGGACUAUACUGUAUACAGCUGGUCAGUGUAUUGUCUGUUACAGGUCGACUCUGUAAGUGUUGUAGAGGUUAAGGACAGCCUGUCCUGGUGUACACCUGGACUAUACUGUAUACAGCUGGUCAGUGUAUUGUCUGUUACAGGUCGACUCUGUAAGUGUUGUAGAGGUUAAGGACAGCCUGUCCUGGUGUACACCUGGACUAUACUGUAUACAGCUGGUCAGUGUAUUGUCUGUUACAGGUCGACUCUGUAAGUGUUGUAGAGGUUUAGGACUAAUUAGCUGCGGGUGUUAAAUAGUUGAUGUUAGGAGUAAUUAGUUGUAUUAUUAGAGGUUGUGUUCUAUACCAAGUGUUCAUGGCUGGGUGGAGGGGUAAAUAUAUGUAAUUAUAUCUGGAUCAUAGCUAUAAUGGUUCAGUAGUAUAUAACUGUAGUCAGUGGAAAGGGGUCAAUAUUACCAUUAUUACCAUUAAUAUUCAUUCUUUUGGUAAAGAAUAUAUAUAUAUAUAAACAGUGCAAUACAGCACUUUUUCCAGGAAAAUACUGUUUCAGAUUUUUAUAUAUAAUGAAGUAUUUGGUCCCUUGGGGGUUCUUAUAAAAGAAUUUUAUUGUAAUGGUAGGAUGUACACACAUUUUGUGCCAUGGUUCCUACUUUUCCAUUAUAACCAUUACAUAAAGAGGCUAUAAAGUUAAGUCUUUGAUGCUAUGAUAUUUAUAUGAGAGGUGUUGAUUAUAACUUCCCAAAUGUCCAUAUAACCCACUUGUCAACAUCAUUAGUCUAAGUCAUUGUAUAAAAUAUUGGCUUUUGCCGCUUUGACAAUGAAUGUGAAACUAACUGCGGAAACCAUAGCUCAAGGUCCGAUCAACAUUUUUAUUUUGAAAUUUUAGAUUAUUGGACCAAAAUAUUUCAAUAUAUAAAAAGGUGAUUGGACCUUGAGCUACAGUCCCGCAGCUAAUGUGGGAGGUGAUUGGACCUUGAGCUACAGUUCCGCAGCUAAUGUGGGAGGUGAUUGGACCUUGAGCUACAGUUCCGCAGCUAAUGUGGGGCUUGAUAUUGCUGUGAAUUCUUGAAUAUUUCAAUGGUAAUUUUACGAUCUAUAUAUGUAACAAUUAUGUGCAAUAUUGAUAAAGACCAUUUGUCUUUGAUACUCUACCUGAACAUCUGUCAUAGAAACACUUUAACAAUAAAAUAGUCUGUUGACUAUAAAUCUGGCUAUUUUAAUGUCUGACUGCAUUUCAGGACUGUUCUAGCAUUCUCUCAUUUCCAAAUCAGGUUUUAUUGUAAGGAUGAGUUCCUUCUGAUGAUUAUACAAAUCUGUGAUGUCUAUGAAUAAUAAGGGUUGUGAACAUACGAUAAAGAUUGUUAUUUUGAACCUACAUGAUAAGUGAAUCAGUAGAAGUUAUUUUUCCUUGCAUUUCAGCAAUUUGUGCAAUUUAUUUCACUGUUAAUGCGUUUGUGUAUUUUACUUUCCGUCCUUAGUUGUUUUUCUGUUAAACAGUACUAUAUCCACUGUCUUUAGAAUGUGAAGAUAAAUCUUACUCUGUUGCUUAUUCUUGCGAAAUUAUGUUUUGUUGUAGGUUGUUGAACAUAUUUUUGUCCAACUGUUGUGACUAUUUGUUGUUUGCUGCCUAGAGUUAAUACUGGUCACACGUGCAGCAUCCCCCUACAAACAGCAGUCUAUUGUAGUGAACGAUACAUACACGACAGAUACAUUACACAUGAAUACACUGUCAUUGUAACCAUGAAUCAUCUUGUGAAAUGUAACAAGUGAAAACAAAUAAAAUUAAAUCUGAAGAUUUUUAUUAUUGAC
rnacentral:lncRNA from 1 species